GCCAGCAGUGGUAGCAAGUUCAAUGCAACUUUUGAUCAAAGUUGCGUAAAGUUAAGCAACGUUGCGCGAGGUUGGUGUCCGGAUUGGUUACCAUUUGGACAACCGUGGGCUGCUGGCU
rfam:Asian citrus Psyllid, Diaphorina citri - Florida Strain, whole genome shotgun sequence.